rnacentral:rRNA from 1 species
AGUGAACGCUGGCGGCGGGCCUAAUACAUGCAAGUCGAGCGAACAGAUGGUGAGCUUGCGCCUCUACCGUUGGCGGCGGACGGGUGAGUAACGCGUGGAUAGCCUUCCUAUAUUUCUGGGAGAACUUCGGGGAGCCGGAUCUACUAACAGCGAAUAUGUUGAACCGCAGGAGUCAAGAGUUAUAGGCGGUUUUGGCGACACUAUUAGCUGAAGCCGCGUCGGAUUAUCUACUUGGUAAGGUAACGGCCUACCAAGGCAACGAUCCGGAUCUGAGCUGAGAGGAUGAUCGGCCACACUGGAACUGAGACACGGUCCAGACUCCUACGGGAGGCAGCAGUAGGGAAUAUUCGGCAAUGGGCGCAAGCCUGAUCCAGCCAUGCCGCGUGAGUGAUGAAGGCCUUCGGAUCGUAAAACCCUUUUAUUGGGGAAGAACAGCUGUAGAUUAAACCAUCGCUGUCUUGACGGUACCCAAUGAGAAAGCAACGGCUAACUUCGUG